CAGCUCUCCAUAAGUUCAGUAUAAAACCAUCCUCAUUCACCUUCUUCAUCACAGCAGCAAAUCUACUCCUUCCUUUAUGCACCAAAAAUCAUAGAGAGUUUAUUUCAGCUGCAAUCUGGACCCCAAGAGUUUAUUCACUCCUGAAUUCAUUAGCACAGCAGCCAACCAAGCACAAAACACACAAGGUUGAGCUGUGAUGAACGAUGAAGUGUUGCUGAGUGGAGCUUUUGUCGAACUUAGAAUAGGCUCAGAAAUGAUAUGUGUCUGCAUACAUGUAUCUCAGUCUUGCCUUCCGCUGCAAACACUGAUUAUGAUUUAGUCAAGUCUAUAACUAUAUGCCAAUUACUCUUCAAAGAAAUAUCUAAUGCUUACUCGGGUUCAUCGAGUAUUUUUUUUUUUUAAUUAUAUGCGUCAAUGCUUCAAUGUCUUAAAUUUUAUUUCAAGAAUUAAUGCUAGAUAUUAAUGUCUAUAAUCGAGUUAUGAAUGAGUCAAAUGUGCCCUUUCUAACCCCGCUUCUUAAAUCCCUUCCCUAGUCACGAUUUCCCGGAUUAAUUAUCUC